AUGCUCGCCUCGUUUUUGCUCUUUCUCUGCAAGCAAAUAAUUAGUAUUAAUAAGUAAAGAAAUCUUUACUGACUGCACAAAACAAUCUUACACUUUAAGCGACAUGGGAUAAUUAUGUAUAGGAUUCAGCUUACUUGUACCAAGAUUGCCACUCUCCUCAAUCGAGCUGAAGAUUUUGAUUGCUUUUGAUUUGGAAUUGUUGUGAUUUUUACCUGGAGCAUACUGGUGGCCAUCCAACAUCUGGUGCAGGAGCAGUCAUGAUUAUUGCAUUUAGCAACACAACAAUAAUAACAACGAAACAAAACUCAUAUCAGGAGAUCGCUAAACAUAACCGAAAUCUCCUAAACAGAUUCCAAACCUUUAAACCAACAUAAAGCAUGAGUUCGAAAGAAAAGAAUUUUCAGUUCUAGUAUUCUUGAGAGAGUAUGCUGAAGAAAAUAAAACGGAGAAACCUAGGAAGAUGAUAAUCUAUCUCUUGAUUUAUGUAGUCGAACAUUUCAAGGGGUUCUGGUAACGUAAGAAAUUGAAUCAAAAAGAUUGAAUGUUAAUAAUGGUUUUUGUAACCAGCAAACAAUGGGAGGAGAAUUGGUGGAAGUAAAACCCCUAAUUUAGGGCUUAAUUGGAUUUUAAUGGGAUUGUACCGAUUGGUGUUGAUUGGAUUUUGUAAUCGAAGAGGAGAAUAAGUAAAAAAAAUUAUCUUAGCCGUGGAAUUAGGGCUUAGAAAAGGGCUUCAUUCUCAGCCACGAUUUGUCUUUUCAAUUCUCAGACGAAUUGAAGACACAAAUCAGCAUAACAUACUGAGAAAUAAUCUGGGCGAACAGGGAACCACUAACACCUAAACCGAAAGUGAAGACACAAAUCAGCUCUAAAAUGGUAAUUGUUGCAUUUCUUGCCAAGGAAGCGGCAGCUGACGGACCAACCAUCUACUAGUAAUCCUACCACCACCAGCUCUGAUAGGAUUGUAGGGGGUGGUUCUGCCGAAGCUGGGGCAAAGAGGAAGAAAGUCGAAAGAACGGGAAGGUCUGGAGAACUGAAAUCAUCAACAGGAAUUAGUGAACCUGUGGUUGAAUUGGAGAAUAUGGACCAUUAUAAGACUAAGUGUAUUGAGUUGUCUGUGGAGCUUGAGAAGAAGGAAUUAGAGCUUGAGCAGAAGGAUUUGGAGCUUGAGAAGAUAAAAGGGGAGAAGAAAGUUGAGCUUGAGAAGAUAAAAGUGGAGCUUAAGAAGAAGAAAGUUGAGUGCACUAAACUCCAGGGUGAAUUAGCAGAGGUCAAAACCACAAAGACUGCUCCUAGAGAUGAGGAUGCAACUAAAUAUUGGAGGAACAAGUGCUCCGAUUUGGAGAGUCUAGUCAUGAGGAUGGAAAUUGAAUAUUCGACAAUGAGACGUAAAGCGUCUCGCCUUUCUAAUUUGGAGAGCCUAGUCCUGAGGAAUAGAAAUGAAGGUUCCAUAUUGAGAUGUGAAGAGUUUGUGUAAUUCUGAAAAAAAAAA